GAUGAACGCUGGCGGCGUGCCUAAUACAUGCAAGUCGAGCGAAGCGGGGACGGGUGAGUAACACGUGGAUAACCUCCUAUAAGGCUGGGUAAACUUCGGGAAACCGGAGCUAAACCGGAAACUGAUAGAUGGAGCCGGGCUGCAUUAGCUAGUGGGUAAGGUAACGGCUUACCAAGGCAACGAUGCAUAGCCGACCUGAGAGGGGGAUCGGCCACACUGGAACUGAGACACGGUCCAGACUCCUACGGGAGGCAGCAGUAGGGAAUAUUCCGCAAUGGGCGAAAGCCUGACAGAGCAACGCCGCGUGAGUGAUGAAGGUCUUCGGGUCGUAAAACUCUGUUAGCAGGGAAGCGGUACCUAAUCAGAAAGCCACGGCUAACUACGUGCCAGCAGCCGCGGUAAUUC
rnacentral:rRNA from 1 species